rnacentral:rRNA from 1 species
UACGUAGGUGGCAAGCGUUGUCCGGAUUUACUGGGCGUAAAGAGCGCGCAGGCGGUCGAAUAAGUCGAAUGUGAAAGCCCCCGGCUUAACUGGGGAGGGUCAUUCGAUACUGCUCGACUUGAAGGCAGGAGAGGGAAGUGGAAUUCCCGGUGUAGUGGUGAAAUGCGUAGAUAUCGGGAGGAACACCAGUGGCGAAGGCGACUUCCUGGCCUGUUCUUGACGCUGAGGCGCGAAAGCUGGGGAAGCAAACGGG